rnacentral:lncRNA from 1 species
UUAUGUAUAACUUGAACUUUUUAGGAUAUGAAUUAAAACUUUUAGGAUAUGAGUUGAACUUUUAGGAAAUUAAUUGAACCUUUAGCAUAUGUAUUGAACCUUUAGGAUAUGACUUGAACUUUUAGUUUAUGCUUAAACUCGUAGGAUAUGAAUAUAACUUUUAGUUUUUAGGUUGUGUUCUUAUGACUUGAACUUUUUAGGAUAUGAAUUGAAACUUUUAGGAUAUGAGUUGAACUUUUAGGAAAUAAAUUGAAUUUUUAGGAUAUGACUUGAACUUUUGUGGAUAUGAAUUAAACUUUUAGGAUAUAAAUUGAACUUUUAGUUUAUGUUUAAACUCGUAGGAUAAGAAUUGAUGAACUUUUAGUUUUUAGGUUUUGUUCUUGUGAAUUGAACUUGUACGAUAUAAAUUGAAAUUUUACGAUAUGACUUAAACUUUUUACGAUAUGAGUUGAAUCUUUAGGAUAUGACUUGAACUUUUGUGGAUAUGAAUUGAAGGUUUAGGAUAUGAAUUGAACUUUUAGUUUAUGUUUUGGAAUUUUAGAUUGCCGGAGGAUUAUUAGAAGAGG